ACCUAAUUAUUCACUGUUACAUGCACAUGCACAUGUAUUGUCCAGAUGAAUCACCAGAUGAAUCACUUGGCCUAUACUUACAAACACGCUAGGAACUCGUCUGGAAGGUUGGCAAUCAUUAAUUAUUUUAUGUAUCACACUCACAGAAGCUCAUUUCCAGAUGUCCUGGCGAUGGAGGCAGUUACGACACACCUCCCUAUUCUGUCUGCUAAUAAACUAAUAAGCUGUGUGGACCUCACAAAAGCAGAGGUUCCACCAAUCUGAUGCCCGGGGAAGCCAAGCAUUACUGCAGCCCAGACUGGUCCAACUUGCCUGGAGCACAGCACUCUGGUGACUCCAAGAGUGAUAAUCGUUUAAAAUGAAUGUUGGCGCUUCUACCUCAUCUGCUGGCACUCGUCGCCAUGUACCGGAGCCACCAUCAUUUGACACUAUCUUUUUGGAGAGAGAAGGCCACACUGUUGGCCACACUGUUGAAGUGACGUUUGCCUCCGUUACGCCACGCAUUGUGGCUCAAGCCUUCAAUGUAAUUCAAUGUAAAUGAACAAGUUGCAUGUGUCAUUGGCAGCCUCCACGACUCCAUAAACACUUUUCAGCUCGAUGUAUCAACUGUCUGGUAAGGAGCGCGGAGGUCAAAGAACUUUUUUCACUGAUGGUGGCAAGUUUGCUUUCACCUCAGAGGUUCCUGCUCUGAUUUAUGCUUUUGAUGUUCAAGGCUCACUGAAUUUAGCUGCCUCUGCAUCUGGUGUGGCUACCCUACAGCGUCUCCAGUAUUGAGUACAUUCAGAAGACCGUUGAAUACAGCCAAAAACCAAUCCGUGGAUGUGAAGAUAAUUCAAUGUGAAGAUAAUUCAAGCAAAAAUGACCAAGAUCAAGGGGCGACCGAACUUCAUCAACAUCAGUCUGGAAUACGUGGAAGCAACGGCUUCACUUUCCGGCUUCCCUUUCCAGCAUUUGCUGAUCACAUACUCGUCGGCGCGGAUGGGCUUCUACUGGAGGAGAGCUCUGCUACUCAAGGACACUGAAUGGACCAAAGCAAAUGCAUUAACAACAAAGCUGUUCAAGUGAGAGGACGGUCCCUUUGUAAAAGCCCUAGAUAUCGCACUAGAUGGCUUCAAUGUGUGACGACAGGCCUAUUAUGGAGGAACGUUUGUGGGAAACCACGUCCACCUAACUCUCAAGCCUGAGAACACGGUGACUCUCUGCAAUGCGGUGUUUACAGCAGGACAUUAUCGUCCUGCUAUCAUGCAGCGAGCUGAGAGGAUACACAGAAAAUAUUCUGUGGUGUUUGCUCUAUUAUAACAAGCCAUACAUAACUGACGAAGAAAUUGCUCUUCUAGGUAAUCUUUUGUAAAUGUAUAUUGACUUACUUUGUCCACAGGCACACACAUCUCUACCUUCAUGAGCUUUUAUCGGGAGCAAUUUCCCGAUGCAAGUGUUAUUCCCAAAAUGCACAUGCUUGAAACGCAUGUGGUUGACUGGCUUAACGAGUGGCGAGUGGGAUUGGGAUUGAUGGGAGAGCAGGGAGCUGAGUGCCUAUUUCAACAAUAUAAAGGCAUCAUUCCGAAACAUCCCGAAUGGUGUAGACAGAUUAAGAUGCAUGAUGAGACAGCACUUCGUACAUGUUGCACCAUCAAACAUUGCAUGCAGACGUCCCCCUCAAAAGAGGAGAAAGACCAAAUUAUGAUGAAAACAACCCUUAUGGAGCAAACUGCUUAAUUAAAUAAAGCAGUGCUUAAGCUUCAAAUUGAUUACAAUAUCACUCACUUUGCACCUUCCUACCCUAAAAUAUUUUCGGGUGAAAGGGGGACAGUAUUGACCUACCGUUUUGAGAAACUAAUGUUCCAAGUUCUAUCCGCAUACUUCUAUCCGCAUACAAGAACAGCAUGAAAAAAUUCAAUGGCUGCCUUGUAACGGGCUAUACAAAAAAAAUUUCGGAUAAAAAAUUUUUUUUUUAAGUUAGAGGAGAUAUUGAAGUUACUUCUUAUGAAAAAAAACUCUAAAUAUUUUACUUUGUAGUGUACUGAACAUUAUUAGUUUGCUCCAUAAGGGUACGUACGUAUGUAUGUACGUACUUAUCAGACUAGUCAUGUAUUAUAAUUAUACAUGCUAUAAAGUGUCAUUUGAAAUAGUUAUAACU